rnacentral:lncRNA from 12 species
AGUAGUAUUUCCUGAAGCUAAGUCUGAGUUAAAGCAAAUACAAGGCACAGAUUCAGGAAUAAUGUGAGAUGAAGAAAAAUAAAGAAAUAUAAAAUGGGACCAGUUAAUUUGCGUUCGUAUUGUGUGCACAUUAUGAGCUCAGAUGCGUAUGUUCUGUAUUCCUUGUGUUCUGGAAUGAUAGUGACAUUAUGAAGUCUAAGAACCAAUGGCAGACCCUAAACCAUGAUAAUAUGAGGAAUCACUGGAAAAACAGGCAGAGGAACCUGGUUGUGAGCCUGGGAUGUUGCUGAAGGCAAGGAAACCACCUCAAAGAGACGAGACAGAAGAGGACCAGAUGUAAAUGUUUUAUGGCCCGACAGGCCAUUUCCUUGCCCUGCCUCCGUCUGGAGACUCCCCGUCCUGAGACACAUCCACUCUGCUUCAGGAAGGCUGACUGACCCGGACCAGCAGCUUCCUCGCUUAAUGUAUUCAUCGUGUCUGAGUACAAAAUAUGCUAUUGGAGACUGAGGAAAAUUUGUUAUAAGACAAUAAAAUGGAGAAGGCAUUUUGAGGUGAAAGUACU